rnacentral:rRNA from 1 species
UACAGAGGUCUCAAGCGUUGUUCGGAUUCAUUGGGCGUAAAGGGUGCGUAGGCGGCGCGGUAAGUCGGGUGUGAAAUCUCGGAGCUUAACUCCGAAACUGCAUUCGAUACUGCCGUGCUUGAGGACUGGAGAGGAGACUGGAAUUUACGGUGUAGCGGUGAAAUGCGUAGAUAUCGUAAGGAAGACCAGUGGCGAAGGCGGGUCUCUGGACAGUUCCUGACACUCAACUACGAAAGCGUGGGGAGCAAACAGG